GUCUUCUGAGCAGACUUGACGCAGCUUCAUCUCAUUCCCGAGGUAUCCUGAGCCCCUCAGUGCCAUACUUCUGCGUGAGUGCUGUGAACUGGAGCAAAUGGGUUGAAAAUGGCCAGAGGUUGCUCUUGGUCUCUUUAGAUCUUUUAUGACAAAGAAAAAAAUUGAAUUUCUGACCAGUUAAAAUCCAUUUGAGCCAGUUUAAGCUAAUUAUGCAGAACUGGAGCCUGAGGUCGGUAAAUCCAGGAAGAUGGCUGAAUACUAUGCUGACUCAAGUACAGACAAGGAGCCAGAUGAAAAAACCGAGGCUCCAAGAGCUUCUGUGACUUGUCCAAGACCAUACAGCUAGUUCACAGUGAGGCACAGUAUCAGUUGUAGACAUACUUCAGGGAAUUUGGAUACUAUUUUGUGGCCUGGCAAGAUCAGCACCCUUACUAUCUUAGUCCCUGCCAGUCAUCAACCUCUGGUUUCCCUGUUAUCCUGCUGCUCCCUAGAAAGCAGCUAUUAAGUGGCCGAAGAACCAGCACCUUCACGGAGUAGCAAAGACUUGGAGUUUAAAUGAGACAUUUUGAGCUGAGUGGUCAUUUUACUGGCAACCCCAACUUCACUAGUCCUGGGCAAGAAACACAAGAAAAAAUGUGGGACCUGAAGACUACUGUCUUGGAGUUUAAGGUACACAUUUAUGAGACGCAUGGACAGUUUUGAUCUGACAUGAAAGGGAGACAUAUUUGUAAGGGAGCUUGAAAAAAAGCUGGAGAGGCUUGAAGAUUUCCUAAGGCUAAAGAUUCCAAUGACAAGGAAGAGAAUCUACAAGGGGAAAUAAUUGUAUGUAGACAAAAAGAGUAAAGUCCAUUUGAGGACAGAGUGAGAAGACGAUGGUUAUCCACAAGCCAGAAAAAGAAGCCUCACCAGAAACCAAUCCUGAUACGCUGAGUUUGGGUUUUCAGCCCCUACAACUGUGAGACAACGAAUAUCUUCUUUACAGCACACAGUCUAUAUCUUGUUGUGGUAGACCAAGGAGACUAAUCUAUUACUUAAUAUUGGGAACAUUACUUAGAAGCAAAUGAUCUUCAAAAAUGGUAAAGUUAUUUGUGUUUGCUAUUUUCAUUCUUCCUUUCCUCGGUUGAGCCAUUUAAAACAAUGAUACUGGCACUUAUUUCUCUUUAACUUUCAGUAUUUGAUUUCCAACAGUAUGGCUAAGGACUGACAAACACUGUCUUGAUAAUACACUACAGAGCACUAGAGACAGUCCAAGAUUUCCACCCAAAGAGUGUAUUCUAAGUUUAGGUGGUGGUAAUGGAGCACUCUGACCUGUGAAGCAUCAUUGUUUGAAGGCUUUAUUUGUGAUCCUCUUUAGAUCUCAGUUUGGAACUGGGUUACAGACUAGAUCAUAUCUCCUCAUUCUCUCCAUUUGAUAUUUCUUCCCUCAUUAAUUCCAAAGUAUGCAAGCUAUAUGCUUUCUAGUGUUUUCCCCCUUCACAGCCAUUGUCUAGGCACCAAAAACAGAGAUGGAAAGAGACAGGUUUAAUCCAAAGCACCAGUUUCCAUUACCUUAAGCUUCCUCAAUGAUUUUUCUGAUGGGAUGAAAUUUCUUACACUUGGUCUCAGGCCCAAGGUAUAUGCAAUACGUCAAUGAAAUUGCUUGCGACACAUUGAAGUGAUUGCCUGGGAAUUAUGAGUUCCUUAACUGUUAAAAAAAAAAAUACUCAGAACUUCUUGUAUAGGCACUGAAUUCAGAGUUUUCACUUGCCAUAAAGAUCUACCCUGAUGUUGAAAGUGUUUUGUUCUGUGACAAAAGUGUAAAUUCCACAAGCUUCAUAUGAAACCCUUCAUAUUAUGGUGCUGCCCUCCCUCUCCAUUAUAAUCUCCUGUUAUUCUGUCUACUUCAGUUGACUUCCAUAUUUGUUUCUUUAGAGUGUAGUUGUUGACCACAUAGUAGUCCUUGGGGCUAGAAAGACAACUCUAUCCACAGGCCCUUCUUCCAUACAUGCCGAGUGCUUGGGCUCACGGGGAACCUUCUAAAAUGUCUCAUGUAGCUAAUGGCACUAUAGAAGCUUGUUUCUCAUAGAGAAGUCCCACAUGAGGAAUUCCAUUUAUGACAGCCUCAUAGAAGGGAUAAGGACCAGGACAGCCUUUUGCCAUGUACAGUAUUAAGUCCUGUUUUCUAGCUCUCUUGUGUUGGGUUUGUGCAAUUACCUUUUUGGAGCAUACACAGGUAAUAAUACAACUUUGCUACUUCAACAUAGGGAAGAGUUUAGUAAACUCAAGGAUUGAGAUACAAGCAGCAGUGACUUUUCUCUCAGCAGUGAAUAUUUGUUCCUGAGGAAGAUGUUUGGUUUUCAUAAAAAAAAAAAAAGUCCAGAAAUCUAUGGAAAGUGCUGACAGUCCAAAACACAUAUGUUCAAAGGUCUUACCUUUCAUCAUCUGGGAAUAAUAGGUGCUCAAGUUCUACCUAUUUUCCUUGAUGUCCUAAGGAAGAUCCUUGCUGCAGCAGAGAUGUGGUUGUCCUGGCUGAGACAAGAGAAAUAUGUUGAAGGAUGUGGGCCAAGGGCUGCUGCGUAUCAAGGGGAUGUGAGACCAUGGCUAGUUUGACUUUUCUCUUUAGUACUGUGCUCUAUUGAUGGGUGGGCCUGGGCCUCCAAGGGUCUCCAGAGCAAAGAAUAGGGAUGAGAUGCGUAAUUAAGGGGAAGAAAAGCUGCUUCCCAAAUGGAGGCUUGUUGUUUGGAGGUGGGAUGUUUGUUAAGGUCAAGAUAAGAUCCCCAGAUCCUAGUCCUAGAUCUGCCGUUGACUUCAUGUAUGACCUUGGGUAAGCCAUUUCUAGGUUUUGAAUCUCAGUUUCUUUAUAUCUUUAAAAAAUGGGUUGGAGGCCAGAUGUGGUGGUUCACACCCUUAAUCGCAACACUCAG